rnacentral:rRNA from 1 species
UAAUUUAGCUAUCCCAUCCUGAACACGCCUGAUUUUGUCUGAUCUUGGAAGCUAGGCAAGGUUGGGCCGGGUUACGGCAGUGGGGACCGAACCCAGGGCCUCAGACUUGC